rnacentral:rRNA from 1 species
GGACUACCCGGGUAUCUAAUCCUGUUUGAUCCCCACGCUUUCGUGCAUCAGCGUCAAUAACCGUGUAGCAAGCUGCCUUCGCAAUUGGUGUUCUAUGUCAUAUCUAAGCAUUUCACCGCUACAUGACAUAUUCCGCUUACCUCCACGAUAUUCAAGACAAAUAGUAUCAACGGCAGUUUCCGAGUUAAGCCCGGAGAUUUCACCACUGACUUACCUGCCCGCCUACGCACCCUUUAAACCCAGUGAAUCCGGAUAACGCUUGCACCCUCCGUAUUACCGCGGCUGCUGGCAC